CCCUUAGAUGUCCUGGGCCGCACGCGCGUUACACUGAUGCAUUCUACGAGCUUAUAACCUUGGCCGAGAGGCCUGGGCAAUCUUGUUAACGUGCAUCGUGAUAGGGAUAGAUUAUUGAAAUUAUUAAUCUUGAACGAGGAAUUCCUAGUAAACGCAGAUCAUCAAUCUGCAUUGAUUACGUCCCUGCCCUUUGUACACACCGCCCGUCGCACCUACCGAUUGGAUGGUCCGGUGAAGCCUCGGGAUUGUGGUUCUUGCCGCUUUAUUGUGGCGUGACCGCGAGAACUUGUCUAAACCUUAUCAUCUAGAGGAAGGUGAAGUCGUAACA
rnacentral:rRNA from 1 species